GUAGAGCAGCAAACUGUUGACGGCCUCGGCGUUCAGGGAGGCCAUUCUCCGCCGGCGAGGCUCAACAACCGGGGAAGCUAGCAUGAGGACGGAAAGCAAAUUGCAACCCCUAAAUGCUCAUGAUUGAGCUCUUUGGGUGAUUAACCCUCAAGCUGAGAGCAACUGAGGAAGAGGAUGGACGGGAGGACAUGGUGUAGAGCUGUCACCAUGAGAGCAGAAAGCCCCGAGGCUGCAGGAAUCCGAGCCCAUAUCUCCACUUUUCUGGAGCGGAUCAGCAGUUCAGCAACACCAACCGCCAUCCUCCACGCUCCAGCCAGUCACAAACACACCCACGUCCACGCAGGAAUCCGAAUCACACCGAGCAAAACGUUUAAAUCACAAGCCUGAGACCAUAAAGAAAUAAAGAG